rnacentral:lncRNA from 1 species
GCAGUUUGCGGACCCAAGGGCCAGGCGGCGACUGUUUCCUCGGCACAGCACAAAGGCGGCUCGUGAAGAGAGGUGUGGGCAGGUAGCUGAAGUCUGGGGGAGGGCGGUGCUGGCGGCUUCAAGAGCCUCUGCACACGCCCCUCCAACGAACAGCCAAAUGUCUGGAAAAUAAAAGGAUGACCAGUGGAGAAAGAAACGUAACCAAUAAGAGAUAUGUGAGGAGAUUUAUUAUGAUAAACUGCUCACAGAUUAUGGACCCUGAGAAGACCCACAGUCUACCACCUGCAAGUUGGAGACUCAGGAAAGCCAGCGGUGUCAUUCCACUCUGAGUUUGAAAGCCUGAGAAUCAGGGCAGCUGAUGGUAUAAAUCCUAGUCUGAAGACAAGGGAAGACCAAUAUCCAGCUCAGGGAGCAGACAGAAAGCAAAAGGGGGUUCACAGCCAGUCCAGGACUGGCUCCACAUGUCAGGCGUGGACGAAGUUGUGCAGAAGUGUAAUUACGUCGUGGUCAAUGCAGUGUUCGCUUUUGUAAGUCAGCGCAAAACAUGCCACAGACACAUUCUGUGAAUAACGUUCUGUGGCUAAAAUUCCUUGUAAUGAAAACACAAAGUUAUAUGAAAUAGAAUGACACUUGCUACUCCAGUUAACUCCACUCUGUACCUGGGGGUUCUGACUCCAUAUGUGGUUUUGGCGGUGUGUUGCUGUGCUAGAUCCUUCCACAUUCAACAAGUGGCAGACUAUGUAAAAGGUAAGAGUCCCCAGGGCAAAGUCACUGAGCCAUGAUAUCUGUAAUUUAUACUGGGGCAUCUGAAACCUGUAUGAGAAUUUUCAAGAAACCCAUAGGAAUGGGAAUAUCACAUACAAAUUGAGCACAAUGAGAAACUUUUUAAUAGGGUCCAAGGGAGAACAAAAGAGGUAGAUCUCCACAGCCUCGGAAGAGUCAACAGCAGUGGAAAGAAGGCAAGUUUUUCCCAGAGUCCUCAUGUGGAGCACCUGUGCCCUUUCUUUCCAUCUGAUCUCCUAACACAGAGAAGCACAACCUCAGAGAAUACAGCUUGUCCCCCACGGACUUGUUCCUGGCCCCUGAAGUUGUCCUCAUAGGGGGUCCCUGGGCUCCAUCUGCAGCUAUUCUGCCAACCCCCUUCCUACAACCAAGCUCCCCAGGCACAAUCUUGGUCAGGAACAACUUAAGGAAAUUGAGCCUGGAAUUCAGUGUCUGCUUUAGUUCUGAUACUCAGGCUUGUUCCAUCCCUAUUCAUUGGUCUUAGAACUGCCUCCCUGCUGUAUUUCUUCUCCUUGUCUUGGUGAUUUAUCUCUUAAGGGUCCUUCAAGAACUAAAGCUCACCUCGUUACUAUUUUCAGCCUCCAGGCCUCUUUUGGACCUCAGAUGAAGGGCUGGGACUGUCAGUCCCUGACAGUUUCUGGAUUCUUCAGCAUUAUGCCCCAAAGCUGGCAGCCUUCUGGUUGGACUACAGCCAGGUCAGAUACAGACUUCCUUUGCUGUUAGGCUUGGCCUAUACCCCUAUUGCCUGCCUGCCGCCGCCGUAUAGGCAGAAGCAGCUCCCAAAUCUUCCCUUUCCCAUCCAUCCUGCCUUCUUCAGGUUAACUAGGUCAUUUCAGACAGUGUCCCAAGGUAGGAAGGCUUGAGCUCAAGAGGCUAACUUCUUCCUGCUGAGUGCUAACUGCAGCUAGAAGAGUAAUUCCUAUAGCUCUGUAUCAAGAUGCUUCUUCUUUUGUGACUGCCAUGCUCUUCAGGCUUUAUUUAGGACUGUUAAUGUCAUGUACGCUAUUUACUGGUCAAAUUAAGACUAUUAUUAUAGAGUCACUGAAAGUCUUGAUUUUAAAGAUAACUUCAUGUUUUAGGAAAAUAAUCAUGAUUUAAUGUUUGGGGGGCAAGCAGGAUACAGAACUAUGUCAAGCUGUGUGAGCUCAUUGUGGCAGACAUCAUGUGGGAUUUGGGCUGCUCAGUAUCUAAACUCCCUUCCCAGGUUUAAGGAAUUUCCCACCAUGUGAUUCUACAUGUGCAGUGAAGGCCCCCUACCUUUAGAGAAGCAAAGAAUUAAGAGGCCUUUCUGUCACUGCUCCCUGACAGCUGGGGCAGGCAUGUGGCCUUGACUCAAUUAAGCACCCACCCAGACUUGGAAUUGGGGACCAGCGAUUCACAGAAGCAAGGACUAUGGAAACUCCAUCCUAUCAGUGAAGGUGACACAGUUACCAGGGCAGCAGGGCUGUCAGGGCCAGCAGAACCAGCAUUGUAUCUGGCCUCUGGUUCUGUUUCAGUUAUUGUAUUUUGCAUCUCUUCUUGCUUAAGUUUUAUAUUUUGUAUCUCUUUGCUCAGUGUUUCCUGUAAAUUAUCCGUCUUUGCCUCCAGUUUAUUUCUAAUGUCUUGCAUCAUCUUCUGCAUCAACAGUCUAAAGUCUUUUUCCUGGAGGCUGAGAAUCUUCUAAUCACUUAGCUGUUUUUCUGGGAUUUUUUUUCUUUCUCCCUUCUCUGACUUAUAGUUCUCUGUCUUUUCAUUUUUAUAGGUUUUUGGUCUGGUGACUUUUUUUACAGAUAAUAGAGUUGUAGCCUCUCUUAAUUCUGGCAUCCGCCCCCCUUGUGGCUGAAGUUGGUAUAGGGGCUUGCUGUAGGCUUCCUAAUGGGAGGGACUGAUGCCUGUCCGCUGGUAGGUGGUGCUGAUUCCUAUCCCUCUGGUGGGUGGGGCUUUGUCUCUGGGUGAGAUUAGAGGCACUGGAGUGCCUGGGGGGUCUUUAGGCAGCCUGUUUACUGAUGGGCAGGGCUGUGAUCCCACCUGGACUGUUGUUUGGCCUGAGGCUUCUCAGCCUGAUGGGUGGAGCCAGAUUUUCCCAAAAUGGCCACCUCUCGAUGUGGCCUCCUCUUUGUCUUCUGGAGUAGGAUAUCUUGUUGAAAGUUUCCAGUCCAUUUGGUUGAAGGUUGUUCAGCAUUUGGUUGUAAAUUUUGUUGUUUUUAGGAGAGAAGUUGAGCUCCAGUCCUACUAUUCUGCCAUCUUAAUCCCAUCUCCUCUGGUUCUGUUUUUUUAAAACCCUCCUUUGUCAUUUUUACUCUUUUUCAGGACUGGUUCUCUAGGCUUUCCUGUGAAUUUCUGAACUAACAAAUAUCUUUUCAGUAAAUUCCUUUCUUCUUAAAGGAGUAACAGCUUUUUCUGUUCAUUGCAGCUAAGAAUUCUGACAAGUGUACCAAUGCUUUUUAAAAUGCAAAGAGAAAAGACUUGAUGUACACUCAUUGUUAAUGAUGGUUAUCUUUAGGUGUAUAGAAUCACAGAUCAUUUUAGUUUUCUUCUUUUUUCCUGGGAACAUUUCCUAAAAAUUUCAGUAAAGUGGUAUUACCUUAGCAGUCAAGAAAGAGCUAAGUUUUAAAAUUGGAGAUUUCCUUGGAUCUCUGAAGUCCUUAAUUGUUGGAAAACAAUUACCUUGAUUAAUCAAGUGGAAUUUUAUUUUGGCACCUGUGACUUCAGUUUUGGCUUGGGCAAGUCAUAGGUAUUGGGGUAAGAGAAAUGCCAAUAUAUUUUGUGAAAAAAAAAAAAACCCCCGAGACCAGUUCUUACCUCGCAAUCCUGGUCUACUUAUAUUUUUUAUUUGUUUUAGAACUCUAUAGUCCUUUGAUGGGAGGCCUGAGAAUAUUGGACUAUUUUUAGAGAACUUUAACCCAAUUCCAAGCAAUAAGGAGUUUCUUAACACUAAUGUUUAUAAAUGUGUAUAAGCACAGGAACACUGCUCGUAUGAUUCUUUGUUGGUUUCUCCUAAGUAGCUAUCCCAACAGUUUUGUGAAUACUGUAAAUAAUAGUCUAAAAAUACCAGGAUAUUGAACCUACCAGUAAUUCGUGCAGUUGGCUGAGCAGCUACCAGCAAUGGUGUGAGUAACACAGUGGAAACUGUAUAAUGGUGUCCUUCAUUAGAACUAAAUCCCAGCUAUCAAGAGAAAACAAAGAUCACCAUUGAUAGGAAGCAGUGGUCGUCUUGUUUCUAUAAGAGCCUGGGGAGUUUUCAGUAUCCCCGCCUCCCUCUAGGAGAUUGCCUGCUUUUGACCAUGGGUGAGAGAUCAAAGUUACAUGGGAUGAGAGUCUCUUGCCCCUCCAUCAACACUGCUGAGACAGCAGUCAAGGGAACUCUGAAUCUGAUCCAGUUGUGAUCACUGAGUUGCUGCAGCCCUCAGAGUGUGGGGACCCUAUUGAUCAUGCCAAAUGAAGCAUCAAAGCACAGUAAAAUGGAAGAAGCAUAGCAUUUAGUCCAAUGGACUUGGUGUUAGAGCCCAGUCCAAAUAGCCACCAGCUGAUCACAUGAGGCUUUCUGAGCCUCGGUUUCACUACAGAAUGUAGAUAAAAGAAACACCUCAUAGUAUCAAAGGAAAUAGCCCAUGUAAAACUCUGAGUACAGUUUCUGGCUUAUAAUGGGUACUCAGUAAAUGGGACUUCUCUUCCAUCCAUGAGCUCUGCUCCCUUUAUUUUUCUGGGAAAUCCUUUAUCUUUUAGAAAGAGUGACUUCAGAUGCAAUUUUUGCAGAGAUAGUUAUUUUUUCCCAACCUCUCAAAUCUAGUAAAAUGCUAAAAUUACCUUCUAAUUAUUUUCUGGAAAGAGGUGCCUUGCCUGAACCAUGAAAAAUUAUCAAAAAAGGGAAACAUUCGUAGCUCAAUGAAUGAUCUGUGUCAAUAUUGCGUGUGACAAAUAUAUCAUCAUUUAACAUGUAGGAAUCAGCAUUAAAGUGCAGGGAAAAGGUAUUAGAGCAAGCCCAUGAGGUUGAAUAGUGCAACAAAAAAAGAUUGACAUUUGCUUAGUGAGGAUGCCAAGCUUGAGUGAUAAUCAACACUUUCUUCUGCUUGUUGAAUAAGAGGAAUACUCCGUAUUGAGCAAAAUGCCUUCAUAAACUGCUUGGGUGUAGCUAAUUUAUUUGGACAUUAAGAUAUAGUUUUCCCAUAUCCUUCCAAAUAGCAUUUUUGUUGCCAAUAUGUAAAUGGGUCUCCAGUCUCUCAGAAGGUGACACAAGAAAAGAAGUGCAGAAAAGAAGGAAAAUCAAACUAGAAAAGAAAAGAAGCCCUGUCCAAAAAAAUCAAUAAUUUUGCUACUGAGAAAUUGCUACCAUCCUUAUUCAGGAAGGGGUGGAAAGAUCAGACCAAGCUAACUUGUGUGAUAAAUGAGUUUAUAAAGUAGCCUGUACCAGGAGACUAAUUUAAUUGGCUGCUUAAAGUCUGAUAAUAUACCAUGCUACUACAAAUUUUUUCCUUUAUUUUAAUCUUCAAUUUAAGCUGAGUAUAAGGCACACCAUGUCUGCCUAAUGGGACAAGGAACACCAAUUGCUGCUGGGGGCAUACAACCACCUGUGGUAGGAAUUCCCUUUUGGCACAGAAGGUUAAGGAUCCAGCAUUGUCACUGCAGUGGCUUGGGUCACUUCUGUGGUGUGGCUUCGAUUCCUGGCCUGGGAACUUCCAUAUGCCAUGGUG